CAGUAUUGUACCAAAUCAUUCCCAAAUGGCAUAGACUGCUGAGGAUUGCUUUUGUUCAGGCUGAGCUUGCUGUUUCCUUUUUGUGUCCCCAGGAUGAUGGGCUCAUGUUGAAGGUUCGAAAUUGGGCGCAGUUGGGAAAUAGUGCUGACUUGUGAAAGACACAGAAAUUUCCAAACAGUGAGUGCAGUGAGAGCUUUCUGAAGCACUUCCAGGAAAAUGCCCAUCCUGCCAGGACUCGCCCGUCCCUGGUGUAUGAGGACUGAGACCUAUAUGCACAGACUCUUUUCCCCAUGGUACUGCACAUCUGAGAUGGAGAAACUUUCACAUUUGUGGUGGCCAGGCAGCUUUUGAAGGACUUUUGGCUAGCUGGGCACGACAGUGCCUUAGGUGUUGACCUUGACAGAGCAGAAAUAUAUCUCAAUGGUGGUGGGCUAUAUGAAGAAGUGGGUUGCCAGUGCCUUCUUCCCAUUUAAACAGGCAAAAGACAGAAAAAAGAGAUGAUGGUAGACAAAUGGACCUCAGAAUGGAGUCUCAGAGUAAACCACUAGACAUCUAGAGGAAAAGUAAACAGCUCCUAAUGGUCUCACAGUUUUGGAGGUCAUAGGACUUGACUUUGCCUGUUUGAACCAAAGCAUUGUUUUACUACUCUUUUUUU